GCCAUGCUGCUGAACUUUGGGCCUUAAAGAAACUGCUCUGCCCCAUAACGGGUACCUGUGUGUGCAGUGAAGACGAAGAUUAAAUGGCCUGUAGCCCCAGGUUGUUCUCCAUCACCAUUCCAGCUCAGGCAUCUGUGGGAGUUUAAGUCCCAGGUGCUUCUGCCCUAUGACUCCACUCUCCUACCAGGUGGUCAUACCUGCAUCCCUUUGUGAGGUGAAUUUCUUCCAUGGACCGUCAUUUCCCAGUUAUGAGCUCCAGUCUCCUGAAGAACUGGUUCCUGAUUUUCAGAUCUACCAAGUUCUGGGCAACAGACUCUGCAAGUAACCCUCAGAUGAGCACGCCACUGUGAGCCAUGCCUCCUCUGUCUCUUCCUGAUAUUCCAAGGACUGGCAUAUAGACAUUUUGGAACCAUUGUUCAGCCUCCUCAACUCACAUUGCAGAAGAUGUAGAAGACACAUCAGGAGAGGACACCAGGAGCGUGUGAAUACAGCUGCUGUGAGCUGGAGUUCCUCGGUGAAAAACACCCUAACAUUUACAUCAAUUGAUCCCAUGCCCAUCCUUGCUGCCCCACAGUCAACACUGGCCAAAAUGUAUCAUGGGCCUGAGGUUUGGCCGCCAUUAGUGAAGUUUAUCCACGGUGGGUUCCUGGGAGCCACAGCUGCUGUGCAGUAAGAGUCAUGGGACCAGCACAGUCCAACACCUCAGCGGAAAUAAAUUCUA